GAAAGACCCCGUGAACCUUUACUAUAGCUUGACACUGAACAUUGAGCCUUGAUGUGUAGGAUAGGUGGGAGGCUUUGAAGUGUGGACGCCAGUCUGCAUGGAGCCGACCUUGAAAUACCACCCUUUAAUGUUUGAUGUUCUAACGUUGGCCCGUAAUCCGGGUUGCGGACAGUGUCUGGUGGGUAGUUUGACUGGGGCGGUCUCCUCCUAAAGAGUAACGGAGGAGCACGAAGGUUGGCUAAUCCUGGUCGGACAUCAGGAGGUUAGUGCAAUGGCAUAAGCCAGCUUGACUGCGAGCGUGACGGCGCGAGCAGGUGCGAAAGCAGGUCAUAGUGAUCCGGUGGUUCUGAAUGGAAGGGCCAUCGCUCAACGGAUAAAAGGUACUCCGGGGAUAACAGGCUGAUACCGCCCAAGAGUUCAUAUCGACGGCGGUGUUUGGCACCUCGAUGUCGGCUCAUCACAUCCUGGGGCUGAAGUAGGUCCCAAGGGUAUGGCUGUUCGCCAUUUAAAGUGGUACGCGAGCUGGGUUUAGAACGUCGUGAGACAGUUCGGUCCCUAUCUGCCGUGGGCGCUGGAGAACUGAGGGGGGCUGCUCCUAGUACGAGAGGACCGGAGUGGACGCAUCACUGGUGUUCGGGUUGUCAUGCCAAUGGCACUGCCCGGUAGCUAAAUGCGGAAGAGAUAAGUGCUGAAAGCAUCUAAGCACGAAACUUGCCCCGAGAUGAGUUCUCCCUGACUCCUUGAGGGUCCUGAAGGAACGUUGAAGACGACGACGUUGAUAGGCCGGGUGUGUAAGCGCAGCGAUGCGUUGAGCUAACCGGUACUAAUGAACCGUGAGGCUUAACCUUACAACGCCGAAG
rnacentral:rRNA from 1 species